rnacentral:rRNA from 1 species
GCAGGGACGAAAGUCGGGCUUAGUGAUCCGGCGGAUCCGAAUGGAAGGGCCGUCGCUCAACGGAUAAAAGCUACCCUGGGGAUAACAGGCUGAUCUCCCCCAAGAGUUCACAUCGACGGGGAGGUUUGGCACCUCGAUGUCGGCUCAUCGCAUCCUGGAGCUGAAGUCGGUUCCAAGGGUUGGGCUGUUCGCCCAUUAAAGCGGUACGCGAGCUGGGUUCAGAACGUCGUGAGACAGUUCGGUCCCUAUCUGUCGUGGGCGCAGGAGGUUUGAGGAGAGCUGCCCCUAGUACGAGAGGACCGGGGUGGACGGACCGAUGGUGCACCAGUUGUCACGCCAGUGGCACAGCUGGGCAGCCAAGUCCGGACGGGAUAAGCGCUGAAGGCAUCUAAGCGUGAAGCCCCCUCCAAGAUGAGACCUCCCAUUGGCGACAAGUAAGGCCCCUCGAAGACGACGAGGUUGAUAGGCCGCGAGUGCAAGCGCAGCGAUGUGCUUAGCGGGGCGGUACUAAUAGGCCGAGGACUUGGCCAA